UACGUAGGGCGCAAGCGUUAUCCGGAAUUAUUGGGCGUAAAGAGCUCGUAGGCGGUUUGUCGCGUCUGCCGUGAAAGUCCGGGGCUCAACUCCGGAUCUGCGGUGGGUACGGGCAGACUAGAGUGAUGUAGGGGAGACUGGAAUUCCUGGUGUAGCGGUGAAAUGCGCAGAUAUCAGGAGGAACACCGAUGGCGAAGGCAGGUCUCUGGGCAUUAAUUGACGCUGAGGAGCGAAAGCAUGGGGAGCGAACAGG
rnacentral:rRNA from 1 species